rnacentral:rRNA from 1 species
GAUGAACGCUAGCGGCAGGCUUAAUACAUGCAAGUCGUGGGGCAGCAGGUUUGUAGCAAUACAGAUGCUGGCGACCGGCAAACGGGUGCGGAACACGUACAGAACCUUCCUUUGAGCGGGGAAUAGCCCAGAGAAAUUUGGAUUAAUACCCCAUAGUAUAAUGAAGUGGCAUCACUUUAUUAUUAAAGAUUUAUCACCCGAAGAUGGCUGUGCGGCUGAUUAGGUAGUUGGCGGGGUAAAGGCCCACCAAGCCUGCGAUCAGUAACUGGUGUGAGAGCACGACCAGUCACACGGGCACUGAGACACGGGCCCGACUCCUACGGGAGGCAGCAGUGAGGAAUAUUGGUCAAUGGACGCAAGUCUGAACCAGCCAUGCCGCGUGAAGGAUGAAGGCCUUCUGGGUUGUAAACUUCUUUUAUCUGGAGAAACCCCUGAUUUCUAUUAGGGCCGACGGUACCAGAGGAAUAAGCACCGGCUAAC